AAAGCUAAGAUGAGUAUGUCAGUGUCUAUUUGUUUAUGAGAACGAGAUUCAGCCCUAUCCCGAACCACCCUCAAAUCAACAGUCCCGAGGUCCACACCGGAAAUCGAAGGCAUAGAAAGAGAUGAUUCCAAAGACAGCAUUAUCAAGCAAGUGUAAAUGUUGACGGGAGCUCAAGCAUUAUUGAACCCUUGCCUCUCUGCCAAAUGAAUUCAAGCGCUUUGCAGGAAUAAAGAGGUCUCUUCUGGUUCAGCGACAGAGCAGUCCAGAAGGCGCAACCUUCUCUUGCCUGAUGUGAUGAUCUACAAAGAGAACGUAGCGAUAGAUGAAAGUCCCUUAUGUAGCAAGACAAGAAAUAGCAUAUGACAACAUAUGACAGGCCCGAAAGCACUAGAGUGAGUGGGAUGGGACGAGAAGGAAGAGGGGCAGGUCAGGAAUAUGGCUGCUUGGCAAGACGGUCAUGGAGAAAAAGACACCACGUGAUAACACAAGAAGAACAUGAAGACAGAUGAGACACCAGAGGUAGCACGGGCGACAGAUGACACGCCGAAAUAGCACACGAGAGUAAUAGGGGAUGAAGAGUAGGGGUCGAUUGCCCACGAUAUAAUAUAAAAUAAAUAAUAAAAAGAACACCAACAGCGA